CAGGACAGGCAAAGAUAACAGUUGCUGAGUGGAGACAGGGGAGAGAGUUGGACAUGUGGAAAAUGAUGGGGGCGCUCCUUCAUGAUGAUGUCAGACAUAAGGAUAAUAUACUAAUCUUACCUAAGUCAUGAUUUAGAGUAGGUAAGGUUGUUACCUGGGCAGAGCCAGGUAUCAAAAGGGGGAUGGGUAAAUGUGGUCUAGGAUAGGAUGGGGCCGAUUGGAUAAGAAACUAAUAAUUUUAAAAAAUUAAAAAAAUAUGUAAGCUAACAAUUGGGCAUAGAAGUUAAAGAUAUAAUCAGAUAAAACAUAUGAGAAAUUGUUUGUUAACCAAGCCUGUAUGUCCAGGAUUUUAUGCAUUACAGGUGAACUACAGGUGAAGUCACUCAAUCCAGUCCCAGAGGCUUGGGGACCAUAGAUGACCCCUGGUGACAGCUAGCUGAAAGAGCUACCCAGAUUCAUAUCGCACGGCGGAAGGGUAAGACACUUUUUCACUGUCGGACAUUAAAACAGUGUUCGAGAGAAGAACUGGAAUUAACAGAAUUCCGGGGGCCAACUCUCGAAUGAAGUAACCCUACCUGUCCUAUCACCCCUGUUUUUGUUCAUAGAAGUGAGGAUGUGUCUGGCUCUGGCUAAGUGAUGUGUAUUUUGUUCCAAAAUAAGCAUAAGAGAUCCCUAGAUCUGGGUAUUUGUAAGUCGCUCUGGAUAAGAGCGUCUGCUAAAUGACUUAAAUGUAAAUGUAAAUAUAGAGAAGAAGUUAGAGUAGAGAUUACAUGAUAACCGACUUCGGACAGUUCUAGGAUUGGAGAAGAGGGUAUCCUUAUAGCAUGGGGGAUCCCACAAGGGUGGAUAGGUUUUCCAUGAUAUGGGGAAACCUGGGAGCAAUGUUGAACUUUGUAAAGGUGAUGAAAUCCUACUAACCAUCAAAAUUAUUAAGCUCUCUGACGCAGGCACUCACACCCUCGGACUACAAAGGACGAGGACAGACAUGAUGGGUGUGUUUUCUAUUAAGGUACUGCCAAGACCAGAGGUAACCGGACACACUCCUCUACCACCACUGUGUUAAAAAUACCAUUCAGGUAAUUAAUGUUAGAGACUAUUCGGCUAUUGAUCAAUUAGGAACUGAGACUGGUUUUGAUAGUAGGGACAAUUUGUGGCUGUCUUAUAUGAGGUACACAGCUAAAACCCUGAGAGGAAAGGACUGCAUUAUUUGUAGUCAUGCUAGACCUGUUCUGGCUACACACCCAUUUGCUGUAGGAGAAGGAGAGGGGUGGUUGUGUAUUCUGAGAAGUUUUUACCAGGUUAAGCCCAAUUCAACCCUCUGUUCCUCUUUGAGCCUUGUGUUUCCUGCAGUACCUCCUCAUCGGGCCUCUUGGGGUGUUGAGGCAUAUGGGGGCAAUUAAGAGUGCAUCACGGGUACAGGUAAUGGCAUUGAUUAUGGGGGAUUGCCUGAAGCUGAUUGCAGUAGUAACAUAACCAUUAAUUCCACUUGGCCAGUUACAGGCUGAUGUGAGGUGGAUGAGUGGAGCCAAGAGUGCUGAGACCCAUUCUUAGAGGAGAAUGGCAAGGUAUGUGUGCUCUGACCAGUUUGAUAAUUCCACUGACCAUUGUUGAUGUUACUGCUGAACAGCUGUUGGGUUCUGUAUCCAAGGGACCUGAAAACAUUCCAUCCCAUGGGAGACAUAGACGUAGCGCUCCAUGGACAGAGAAUGUAGUUGACAUAAACACUAACCUGUUGGGUGUGCCAGUGGGGGUUCCUCAUGAGUUUCAGGCCUUGGGUAGGAAUGAUGGACUCUGGCACUUACUACCUACUAUGGGUCCAGCCAUGGUGGAUGCUAGACAGACUGCAUGGAUUAAUUAUGUCUACUAUAAUCAACUCCCGUGAUGCACUCACUGGUAUGUCUGAACAGCUUGAGGCCACAUUUGGGGUUUCCAGACAGAAUAGACUUGCCUUGGAUAUGCUUCUUGCCAGUCAGGGGGACGUUUGCAAGAUGUUCGGUAAACAAUGUUGCACGUAUAUUCCUAAUAAUACCAGUCCAGAUGAUAUCUAGGGCGGGCUUGAUGCACUAUCUGAUAAGAUGAGGUCCACAGGGGGGGUGGAGGAGUGUUCUCUUGGCCUGGUUUGGUAAGUACACUGAUAUGAUGGUUACUGGAUUUCUGACCCUAAUUCUUGUAUUAUUUGUUAUUGAUGUGAUGUGCUGCUUGCAUCAUACCGUGUUCUAAGAAAUAUGUUACAGAUAUGGUGAAGGCUUCAGGCAUGUUGCCUUUGCUUGAUGCUCCAGUUGGAGAUGCCGAUACGGAAGCAUGCUUUCAGGAGAGGAUGGGACUGACUGAGGAUGACCCAUGGUAUGCUGUGGGUGAGGUAGUAGAAUAAUUUUACACCACCACAGUUCCUUGUUAUACAUUUUUAUGAUAGGUUUUCUUUCCAGUAUGUUUGUUCUCCCUGUUGUAAAGGUUUAGAGUCCCUGGGUGGCAAGGAGCCCACCUGGAACAGGAUAGGAGUAGCUGAGAGGACCAGAUGGUUUCUAAUAAUUCUUUCCUCUGUUUUCCAUGACCAAAGUUAUAUCCUACAUCUUACAUGUCAAUAACAAUAAAGUUUUAUCCUGUUUUUGAUAAGUGACACCCUUGUGGGUGACAAAAGGGGGAAACGCAUAUAACAAUAGACAUAUAUCACUUGUUAUUAAUAAUAAACUUUUUAUUAUUUUCAUGAAAUGCUAUGACUGCUGAAAUAAAGGAUAAUGAGUGUCAAAAGGGGGACUUAAAUUUCACACCCUUGGGGUUAUUUUACAUUAUAGCCAUUACCAUAUAUAUGAUUGAAUAUUAUCUGCUGUUGCCUUGGGUGGAUGUGUGUAUGUGUUAUGUUCUCUAGCUGAUUUGAAACAUUGUUAAAAGUAUCAGGGCCAUGGAACUUUCUCAUGCUGGGAAAAUACAGAAGGGAGGGCACAUUCAGAGCGUGGGGUUGCGAGAACAAGCAGUCUUUUGUUAGAUAACAGGAGCCAGGUGCGAGAUAACGGUAUGGAGCAUGAGAACCAUCUUUUAGUUUUUGCAGCCAUUUUAGUGUUGUGCGGCUGCGGUUGCAUUCCAUGUAUCCGGUCCCUUACUGCUAGAGUUAUCUCCAGAGCUAUUGACCCUUCUUCCCUUCCCAGAUGUAUCCUCUGCUUGCUAAUGACCUGCCAGAGUUUGAGGAUGAGGUGGAGAAUACCCAUUAGAGUGUGUCACAUCUCUUUGGAGAUGUGAAGAGAGGGUAUCACAACUUUUUCCUGCUGGAAAAGGUUGGCUUAUGUGGACAAACAUUUUACUUAUAGCUUAGAGCUGUUGUUCUCCGCAAUUGUUAAAUGAGGGUUGUAAGUUCCUAGGUGGCUGGUAGCCAACUUAGUACAUAGUGGGAUUGAGUGGAGAACUUGGUGGUAAUACAUAUACAUCCAUUUCUUUUUAAUGUUGUGCCUUUUUCAUAGCCCCUUUGGGAAAAGUUUUCUUUUGUAUCAGAAUCUAGUUAGGUUGUGUCACGUCUCUGGGGAGACGUGAAGAGAGGGAUUUGUAGAGGACUGCUAAUUCCUAUGUAGGUGACAUUACACUACUAUAGCUGAGACAACGUAUUUUCAUAGUAAAACAGGUCGGGCCCCAUACAGGAUAUUUCUCACACACACACUCACUGUAAUCAUCCAGAACACUGUCACAACAGGAUACUCCUAGCCACAGGUGCUAGCCAUCAGUUCGGCCACAACUCCCCAGAAGAUAGGGACGCACACACAUUACACACGGACUCUCGAGGACAGGACAGGGACGCAUACGCUCUUACACACUGACCCCAGAAGACAGGGACGACGCACAUACAGUACACACAUAGCUGCCGAGGACACCCAGAUAAGACACCCACACAUUGGCAGAAAGCCUAGACUUAGAGACAAACUAAGCACACACACAUAAUUUCCCUCCCAGCCGAACAUUGUGUGAUUGAGGAUAGCGCACACACCAAAUCUCCUUUUCAGCUGAACAUGGUGUGACGACCAAGAACAGGCAUGGCAGGAUUCUACGAUGACGGACAGACAACAGAGCCAAUGCCGGAUGACUACACCCCAGCCUGAUCCAAUCCGAAGAUCCGAUCUCCUAGAUAUCAACCUACUUUCUGUUCUGUAUAUGAAGCUUGUACCCAUUGUUAACUAGUGUCUUUUUUGCUAGUCUCUGAUGAGCUAACAGAGGGGCCCGUAUAUACGCUGUACCAGAUAUCUCCACUUUGAAAUAAACCUGUCGCUUGUCGUACAAUCUAC